GACGAACGCUGGCGGCGUGCUUAACACAUGCAAGUCGAACGGAAAGGCCCUGCUUGCAGGGUACUCGAGUGGCGAACGGGUGAGUAACACGUGGGUGAUCUGCCCUGCACUUCGGGAUAAGCCUGGGAAACUGGGUCUAAUACCGGAUAGGAGCCAUUUUUAGUGUGAUGGUUGGAAAGUUUUUUCGGUGUAGGAUGAGCUCGCGGCCUAUCAGCUUGUUGGUGGGGUAAUGGCCUACCAAGGCGGCGACGGGUAGCCGGCCUGAGAGGGUGGACGGCCACAUUGGGACUGAGAUACGGCCCAGGCUCCUACGGGAGGGCGGCGGUGGGAAUAUUGCCCAAUGGGCGCAAGCCUGAUGCAGCCGCGCCGGGGGGGGGAUGACGGCCUUCGGGUUGUAAACCCCUUUCGCCAGGGAAGAAGCUUUUUGUGACGGUACCUUAAUAAGAAGCCCCGGCUAACUAAG
rnacentral:rRNA from 1 species